GACAAUGGAGGCAACUCUGAUCCAGCCAUGCCGCGUGAAGGAAUAAGGCCCUAUGGGUUGUAAACUUCUUUUAGACGGGACAAAACCCCUUUACGUGUAAAGGGUUGAUGGUACUGUCAGAAUAAGCAUCGGCUAACUUUGUGCCAGCAGCCGCGGUAAUACGAAGGCUGCAAGCGUUAUCCGGAAUUAUUGGGUUUAAAGGGUGCGUAGGCGGACUAAUAAGUCAGUGGUGAAAGCCUGCAGCUUAACUGCAGAAUUGCCAUUGAUACUGUUAGUCUUGGGUACAGUUGAGGUAGGCGGAAUGUGUCAUGUAGGGGUGAAAUGCUUAGAUAUGACACAAAACACCGAUUGCGAAGGCAGCUUGCUAAGCUGUAACUGACGCUGAGGCACGAAAGCGUGGGGAGCAAAC
rnacentral:rRNA from 1 species